rnacentral:lncRNA from 1 species
UAACAACAGGCGUCCUAACAACAGGUGUCCUAACAACAGGGGUCCUAACAACAGGCGUCCUAACAACAGGCGUCCUAACAACAGGGGUCCUAACAACAGGCGCCCUAACAACAGGCAUCCUAACAACAGGCAUCCUAACACUCCCACAGCCCCUCAGCAUCUACAGCCUCACUCCCACCCUACAACAUUUCAGAUAGGUGUCAUUAGCCCCAUUUUACAGAUGAACGAGGAAAACAGCUCGAAGGGGCUGUGACUUUGUGACGACUCGGUGGCAGAGCUGGGAUCGAGCCCGGGUUUGUAACACCCUCCUGGAGUCCUGGCCUUCACAGCAGCCUCCAGAGAGAAGGCCUGUGGCCUUCCUGGCAUUGGAAAGUGGUCAGCUACCUGUGUUCGGUCAGCAAGAUGCCCAACUCUUAGUUUGGUCUCACCUGGAUGCUUCUUUCUCCUCUAGAGAUGGAAAACUGUGGUCCUGAAAGUGUCACCAAACACAACCUGAGGAAAGGAAAGAACAGGAUCAGCUCAUCCAUCCAGAGCUGGAGGGACUGUUAGGGGACCAUACCACUUGCCCACGGUAUCCUGGGCGUGCAGGCUUUGGCCUUGGGCCAUGAACGGACUUUCAGCUUCUAGAAGCAAGUGAUCACAGGGCCUCCAUGACCCUCGGAGAUGGCACCACGGCGUCCGCUACCUAAUCCUCGCUGGACAAGGCUGGCUCUGCUCCGGAAUGCAGAAACCCCGAUUCCUCGUCCUGGGCCCCCACGGUGUCUGAGUGUCGGCAGUCCCUGCUCUGGGACCAGUCACUCCACAGACACCCCACGUUCAGGAUUCAAGUCUUGAGGAACCAGAAGCAGAGAUGCACACUGUGGCGAAGAGCGGAGCGGAGGUUCUCUGGCCCCUUCAGAGAACCGCACUUGGUUCGGGCCAGCCGCUGGAGGGGACAGGCUCACGUCUGCUUCUCACACUGCAACUCCUGGGCCGUGGAGCUUCCCCAGGGAGCCAGAGGAACUUUUGCGGCAGCCAUGAAGGGGACACGCUGGAGGAGGGUCCCCUGGGUGUCCCUGAGCUGCCUGUCUCUCUGCCUCCUUCCACAUGUGGUCCCAGGUCACGCCACCCCUCUUCCUGUCACCAGCGCUUCCUCAGCAUCCACAGUAUCCUCGGGCUCCCCUCUGAAGACAGAAACAUCAGGAAUGACAACACCCUCAGUGAAGACAGAUGGUGGGAAAGGCAGAGUCACAUCACUACCCCAAACAACCUCCCAGACCACCACAGCCACAUCCACAUCCCCGAUGACCUCCCAGACCACCACCUCCGCCACGGUCAAAUCCAUACCCCAACCACCUCUCAGACCGCCACCUCUGCCACAGCCACAUCCACACCCCAACAACCUCCCAGACUGCCACAGACACAUCCACAGCCACAUCACCACCCCAACAACCUCCCAGACCACCACAGCCAUAUCCCUACCCCAACCACAUCUCAGAAUGCCACAGCCACAUCCACAACCCCAACAACCUCCCAGACAGCCACAGCCACAUCCACAUCCACAUCACCCCCCCCAACAACCUCCCAGACCGCCACAGCCACAUCCACACACCCAACCACCUCUCA